AUUGAACGCUGGCGGCAUGCUUUACACAUGCAAGUCGAACGGUAACAGGCCUUCGGGUGCUGACGAGUGGCGAACGGGUGAGUAAUGCAUCGGAACGUACCCAGAGGUGGGGGAUAACGCAGCGAAAGCUGUGCUAAUACCGCAUGUGAUCUGAGGAUGAAAGCGGGGGACCGAGUAGCAAUGUUUGGCCUCGCGCCUUUGGAGCGGCCGAUGUCGGAUUAGCUAGUUGGUGGGGUAAAGGCCUACCAAGGCGACGAUCCGUAGCUGGUCUGAGAGGACGACCAGCCACACUGGGACUGAGACACGGCCCAGACUCCUACGGGAGGCAGCAGUGGGGAAUUUUGGACAAUGGGCGCAAGCCUGAUCCAGCAAUGCCGCGUGCGGGAAGAAGGCCUUCGGGUUGUAAACCGCUUUUGGCAGGAACGAAACGGUGUCCGCUAAUACCGGGCGCUAAUGACGGUACCUGCAGAAUAAGCACCGGCUAACUACGUG
rnacentral:rRNA from 1 species